GAUGAAGAACGUAGCGAAAUGCGAUAAGUAGUGUGAAUUGCAGAAUUCAGUGAAUCAUCGAAUCUUUGAACGCACAUUGCGCCCCUUGGUAUUCCAUGGGGCAUGCCUGUUCGAGCGUCAUUUGUACCUUCAAGCUCUGCUUGGUGUUGGGUGUUUGUCUCGCCUCUGCGUGUAGACUCGCCUCAAAACAAUUGGCAGCCGGCGUAUUGAUUUCGGAGCGCAGUACAUCUCGCGCUUUGCACUCAUAACGACGACGUCCAAAAGUACAUUUUUACACUCUUGACCUCGCAUCAGGUAGGGAUACCCGCUGAACUUAAGCAUAUCAAUAAGCGGAGGA
rnacentral:misc_RNA from 1 species